UUGUUGGUGAUUAGGUGUGGGGUUGCGAACGGGGUUUUCAGGUUAAUUUCUGAGGCCCUCUGUAUUGUUGUUGUUUACGUGGCCUAAUAACUGCCUCUUCCAAUGGUAUAGGGUGGGUUGGGCUAGGAUUUGAGGGAUGGCCUGAAGCCCUCACAUUUCAGGAUGCCUGCUUAUGAAGAUAGAGUUGUAAUUGGAUAUUAAUGGGAAGUUUGUUUGCAGAUGUUCUUUCAAUUUUUAUGGCGGCCAUGAAGGUUUCUAAGCCAGCUCUGUUCGGGUGUGGAAGGGACAAGCGAUUACGUAUAAAUUGUGAUGCGACGUUGGCAAAUAAAACACUGGUUGAUGGGUGGUUUUCGUUUCACCAUUGAUCUUAAAGCUCUGCCAUGACUGUGAUGUGUCGAUGGGAGAAGUGUCGUUGUUGCUGAUAUUAGUUGGACGCAUGGGUUUGGUGGGGUUGCAGUACUGUUGGGUGCUGUUAGCUGUUUUCUCGAAGGAACACAAUGUGUGCAGAUGUUAAAGAACUUCUGAUAUUCCUUCACAACAACUGAUACCCAUGCUGAACCUCACUGAUGGAAAUGGGGUAAAAUUUCUUUGCGACUGAAGAGAAUGAGAAAACAUUCCAUCUUUUGUCUGUAUAUAACUGGACAAGCUCAUUAUGAACUUCAAUUUUUAAACAAUAAAAUUCAGGUUAUUGUUAAUCAAAGGAUGUUUAUGUUCUCUACAUCCCAGGGAAAGUGAAGGCUUAUUUCAGUAUGGUAACUACCACAGAGAAGCUUAGGAUUUACGUGUUGUGGUUCAACAUUUUCAUGGGGAGAAACGUGAGAUAAAUACAGCUAUUGGACAUAGUAAAGGUCCAUUUUUCUUCCUUGCUCCGUGUCUACAAAAUGAAAGAACAAAAAAUAAAUAAAUGAAAUUAGAUAGCAUUUUGGAAAUAUGUGUGAAUUUUGAGUAGAGCACUUAAUUUGUAGCGAGCUAUAGAUGUUAUUUUACAUGUAAGUUUCUGUAUAUUAGAAUUUUUAUUUU